GCCACACUCAUCGCUGAAGAGGUCAGCACAUCGUCAACCCCUUCUGCUGACGACACAGAGCAAGGUCCUGACUCUGGACAUGAACCAAUGCACGAUGCAAGUGCUGGCAUCGAAAAACCUUUUUCGAGCUCAGCCCCCUCCAUCAGUAAUGCCAAACAGGCUCCUGACCUUCGGACCGCUGCUACGCAGACCUCGGGCAUCUACAGAAAUCAAUGCAUACAAGUCACCAUGAAGACUUCAUCACGACAGUCCCAAACAAGUCCUGUCCUCGUGACACCACAAUGCUCCUCACCAAAUCAUGUCCCCCAGGCUCCAUUGGAUUGGAUGUUGCCUGAAGGGCGGACGCUGUCGCCACAGCCGCCAGAGCCCAGGCAACCAGCUCUACCACCAGACCCACCACAGCUGCCAACAAUAGACAAUGAGCUCCCCUCUGACGCUAGCUUUCUCAUGAUGAUGUCCGGCACCGGCUUUCUGAGGGAUGCACAACAGAACACCGCAUGUGACAGCGCACUCAGUCAGCAUGAGAGCAGCAAAAGCAUCGACUACGUCUCGGAACGAAAGUUUAUUGUUUUCGAGUCUUGUUUGGACGAGCUACUGGGUAAUUGACCUGAGUACACUGCACUGUGCCGCAUCACAGAGAAGAAGCUCAAAGGGACGUGUCUCCGGGUGCACAGAAUGUGCAACAAUGGCCACCAACACACCUGGACCAGCCAACCACCAGUGAAUAGGAGGGCCCUAGGCAAUGUGCUCCUAGCUGCAGCAACACUCUUCUCUGGGAGCAUCGUCAAAAAAGUGCUGAGGCUCCUCCGCCAGAUGGGCGUGCCCUGUUUCUCGUACGAGACAUACUUCAAGAUUCAGGGUGCCUUCCUUCUACCAGCAAUCAGACAGGUCGCUCUUGAGAAGGCAGCUCCUCGGCAGCCAAACUGUGCUUGUUGAAUGCUACGAGGGGAACAAGACCUGAACAGGCAGGGGUCUAUGCGACCUAAACUUCCAGGUGUGGAACAGGAAACAAAACGAGCUCUUUGAGCAAGCAAGUGGACGAGAACUGGUCCUUGCUGGUGAUGGGCGGUCAGACUCCCCCGGGCACUCAGCGAAAUAUGGAACGUACACCGUUGUUGACGUGUCAACGAACAAGGUUCUCCAUGUGGAAACAGUGCAGUCCAACGAAACAAAGGGCAGCUGGGCAAUGGAGCUCAAGGGCCUGAAAAGGACUCUAGUGAUUUGUGAAGCCAAUGGAUUGACUGUGGGAGGAAUCAUCACUGAUCGCCACUCCAUGAUCAAGUCAUUCCUUGCCAAGUGGUACCCCCAGAUUCGGCACAUGUUCGACUGCCGGCACGUUGCAAAAGGCAUCAAGAAACGCUUGGUCUCAGCUGGAAAACUCAAGUCCCUUGUGGGACUCCAAGACUGGGUGGAGGCAAUCGUCAAGCACCUUUAUUGGUGUGCGGAAUCGAGCAAUGGAGCGCCGGAGGAGAUCCUUCCA